rnacentral:misc_RNA from 1 species
GAUGAAGAACGUAGCGAAAUGCGAUAAGUAAUGUGAAUUGCAGAAUUCAGUGAAUCAUCGAAUCUUUGAACGCACCUUGCACCCUUUGGCAUUCCGAAGGGUAUGCUCGUUUGAGUGUCAUUGUACUCUCACACUCUCCGAUCCUAUGGAUUCUGGGAGCGGUGGACUUGGGUGUUGCUGCCUUUCCUUGUGGCUCACCUCAAAUGUGUCAGUGCACCUCUUGGUUGGACAUAGUACGGCGUGAUAAGUGUCUUCGCCGGCACCUCGCAAGAGGGUGGCCGAUCGGGAGCUCUGUGCUUUCAAACCGUCUUCGGACAAUUUCUGACAACUUGACCUCAAAUCGAGUAGGACUACCCGCUGAACUUAAGCAUAUCAAUAAGCGGAGGA